GAUGAACGCUGGCGGCGUGCCUAAUACAUGCAAGUCGAGCGAACAGACGAGGAGCUUGCUCCUCUGACGUUAGCGGCGGACGGGUGAGUAACACGUGGAUAACCUACCUAUAAGACUGGGAUAACUUCGGGAAACCGGAGCUAAUACCGGACAAUAUAUUGAACCGCAUGGUUCAACAGUGAAAGACGGUUUUGCUGUCACUUAUAGAUGGAUCCGCGCCGCAUUAGCUAGUAGGUAAGGUAACGGCUUACCAAGGCAACGAUGCGUAGCCGACCUGAGAGGGUGAUCGGCCACACUGGAACUGAGACACGGUCCAGACUCCUACGGGAGGCAGCAGUAGGGAAUCUUACGCAAUGGGCGAAAGCCUGACGCAGCAACGCCGCGUGAGUGAUGAAGGUCUUCGGAUCGUAAAGCUCUGUUAUUGGGGAAGAACAACUGUGUAAGUAACUAUGCACGUCUUGACGGUACCUAAUCAGAAAGCCACGGCUAACUACGUG
rnacentral:rRNA from 1 species